CGAGGCGUAGCGCAGGCCGGUUAGCGCACCUGCUUUGGGAGCAGGGGGCCGCAGGUUCGAAUCCUGCCGCCUCGACCC
rnacentral:tRNA from 1 species